GAUGAACGCUAGCGGCAGGCCUAACACAUGCAAGUCGAGGGGUAGAACAGAGGAGCUUGCUCCUUGGGUGGCGAGUGGCGGACGGGUGAGUAAUGCAUCGGGAUCUACCCUGACGUGGGGGAUAACCUCGGGAAACCGGGACUAAUACCGCAUACGUCCUACGGGAGAAAGCGGGGGACCUUCGGGCCUCGCGCGGCAGG
rnacentral:rRNA from 1 species